rnacentral:rRNA from 1 species
AAGGAUAAACGAAACUCCCCCUGUAUCACUUAUAUAUAUAAAACUUAAACUCUGGGUGAAGAUGCCCAGAUAAAUUUGAAAGACAAGAAGACCCUAUAGAGUUUUAGCAUAAUACUUCUGAUUAAGUUCUUUGCUUUUGUUGGGGCGACAAAGGAUUACUAAAAACAUCCUGAAAACCGAAGACAAAUAUUUCCUUGCUAUGACCCUAAAAAGACCGACAGAUUAAACUACCUUAGGGAUAACAGGCUAAUCUCCUUCCAGAGUUCAAAUCGAAAAGGAAGUUUGGCACCUCGAUGUUGGCUUAGAGAACCCCUUUACUGCAACAGGU